UCCUCCAAGAGUGGAGGCUUCUCCACCACUUACCGAGGACCAGCAGAGACGCCCACAGGAGCAUGGAGGCGCGCCCCAGGAUGCUGACGAGCCGCGGCUUGCAGAUGGACAGACUGGCCGUCUGGCGCUGGGGAGUGAGUGCAGCACAGUGCCUCUGAGUGUGGCCGGCUGUGGUCGUGAGGCAAAAAGAGGAAGUACAGGAAUGUUUCUUAAAAUACCAGCAUCACGUUACUCAGGGCGAGAGAAUCCCAAUGACCAAAGUCACUAACUCGCAGAACGCCGUGGGUGCCGCUCUGACUUCGAGGUGCGAAAGGCUCCUCAAAGCUUUAACUGUCAUAUUUUCAGAAACUUCGAGCCGCCGUCCUCCAAGGAAAAUGCAACCCGUUCUCUCUCUGCUGCCAGAUGCCAGGCAAGACAGUAGACCUGUUGUGAUUCACCUCCUGCUGGGAUGUCCCUGAACUGGUCCAGAGCUGGACAAGUUCUCUUUCAACGCGGAAACACGCUCGUCCAACCUCGGAGGCCUCGGCUGGACCUCCUCUGGCUGAUCGUCCACAGAUGCUGAAGCAUCUGAAUCAUGAGACAACUUGUCCUCUGUCUGACACGUAUGAAAAUAACCUGACUUAUCUGUCUCAGAGGAAGCCACAGACUUUGACCGGAUUAGCAGGUGGACUGCGGAAUAAAUUAUGGCCUCAUUUUGCUCUUCCUGGAGAUGGGGCUGUCAAAAUUUCACCUUAGGGUUCUGGAAUCUAAAGUUUGUUACGGGAGUGUCCUGACGAAUGCAUGUUGAUUCUCCAGCUAGACGUUAUGCAGAAGGCUGGGCGCUGGGAGUGCAGUGGUAAGCAAGACUCCUCGCUUUCGUGGUCGUGGGGCAAAAAGAAGAGCCAAAUGGUUCAAUUCAGAGUGAAAAGUGCUCUGAUCAUCCAAUAGGAGGGAAAUCUAACCCAGGAUUUUCAGGGGAAGUGAUACCCAAGUUGAGGAGGUGUCUUUCCGGGACUGGGCGAUGACCACGGACGGAGGUGGGCGGCACUCACCAUCACCAUCACCUUCACCCUAAGGUAUCUGUGACCCAAUGACCCUUGAUCCCCUGUGAGUGGAAGACAUCAGACAGAGGAUGAAGCAUGACUGGCGUUUCUUGGAAGGUCUCGUUCAGUCCUCCAGCAGCCCUCCUAGAUGGGGUGGCCACUCCCGUUUGCAGGUUCUCCAGAGAAAAGAGGUUUGCUUUGAGGGAUUGCCUCAUGCAAUUAUGGAAGCAUAACCCAUACCAUGGGUUUCUCUGUGCGGACAAGUCUCACCAUCUUCCAUCUACAAGCUGGAGCUCCGAGAACCACGGGAGCCAAUGGUGUGAGUCCUGGUCCAAGUCCAAGACCCAAGAACUGGCAGUGCGACGUUCCUCCUCAAGCCCCUUCCUCACCUUGCUCCGUGGCUGAAGACUCCAGGGAGACAGUGCGUGGGCGUCCUGACUGGCACCUGGGCCACAGUCAGACAUGCCUGCAGGACACGCCUCACUUCCGUGGCUCUGCCAAGGCUGCCCUCUCGUCCCCGUGGAGCAGGCCACGGAGGGAUCCUGAGGAAGAAAGGAGUCCUGAAGACAGAGGAAAGGGAUGUGUGUUGAGGGCCCACUGUGUCAGGUGCACUGAGCCACAUACUUCACUUGGAGAUGGAGUCCCUGGGAGAGAAGAGUCUCCUUCUGAGCUGUCCCUCCCCAGGGGCUCCGCCAGGGAGGCCGAGGCUGAGAGGGAAUCCCGAGCCAUGAAAGCAAUGAGCCUCUCACAGCCCGCAUCCGCCAGGGCGUCCACCUCUUUCCCAAGACAGGAAAGAGGCCCAACAGGGAUGACUCUGGAGGAAUCUGCCAGCGGAGACCCACAGUCUCUCCCUGUGCUCUCACAGCCAAGGCUGCAGCAGCCGCCCCGGGAGGGACUCUGUGUGCCCUGCUGCUCCCUCCCCCUCAGCUCCGUGAAGACAGAGGCACCACCCCGAAGCUGACGUGCGCCCUCUGUCCCUGACGGAUACUCCAGAAAUGGGCACAAAUCAUGUCCAGACACACUGGAGCCUCUGCAAGGACAAGCCUUGACAGGGGCCUGUGGGCAAGGACAGGGCACUGCCUGCAUACCCACCUCGACACCCCGGGGAGUCCGGGCAGGACCUCGGCUGUCGAAGGCAUCCCUCAGCCUCACCUCACAGAGGUGAGCCCCUUCCUGACAGCAGCACCGCCCCGGGCUUCCCCUGGGAAGGCUCCUGAAGCCCAGAGACAUGUCCCCAGGACAGUGAAUGGGGGCAUGGAGGAAGCCUGGCAGGGGGUAAAAGGUAGGCAGUGUCUGGGAUCCAGUAGUGAGAGAGACACCUCGCCCUGCCAGGCAGGCAAGCAGCCUGCUGCCUGACACACCCGCGCCCGGGCGGGGCUGUGGGUGUGUCAGGAGGGGCCCCCACGCCUCGUGUGACCGAGACUGACCUGAGCCGGAGAGGUCUGAGUCAAGUUCAGAGAAAAAUAAUCACCCGGUUGGAAACCUUCCUCGAUAGCAUUGCUCAUGGCCAUUUCCUUCAAAGACAUAGAUCGUGUACGUAUCUUUCAAUCAUGUCGAGCUCACGUCCCAGAAAAGAUACUUGACUCUCAGGACCACAUGGUCUAACCAAGCUAAGAAGUGCAGCAUUGGCUUUAGACAAACUUGGUGUUCUCUGAUGUGCUGGAAACCAUAUCAUUACAUCUAAAAGCACCGGUGCACGCUGCUGUUGGCCAAAGUGGUUCCGAAGAAGGUUCACACUCUGCGUGAGCGGGAGUCUUGGACACAAAGGUCAAAUGUAAUAUCCAGGAAGAAAAUGCAAUUAUGUGUGUAUGUAUCGAUUAUUAUGAAUGUGGGGCUUUAGUAUACA